CAGCUCAACAUCUUUCAAAGGGAUGGCUCUCAGUCCCGAAAUGAAAAGAAAAGGUGGCUUGGUGCAAAUCAUUCUCUUUAUCAGCAAAAGAAAUACCAAAGCCUGUGUCCUUCUGACAUAGUGAGCUGUCGAGGUAGUCCAGGGAAAAGAUGACAGUGAAUUGAGUUAUGGGAUGGCAAUGGAGACUGAAAAGAAUCUGUGUUUAUUAUAUGUAUAUAUAUCAUUAAGGUAGAACUAGUGGAUUUUCUCUGGCACUGCACAUGGGAAGCAAGUGAAGGAGAGUGAUCUAGAAUGACGCCACCAUUUUUGCCUGAGAAAUUCAGUACUCAGAGGUGUCUGUCAUUCAGAGAGAUGGAGGAAACAAGAAGAGGAGCAAGUUGGGGGAGAGGGUAAGCAGAAUCAAAAACUGUGUUGAUACAUUAACUUUAGGAUGCAUAGUAGACAUCAGAGUACAGAUGGAGUUUAGGAGCAAAGUUAUAUAGAGAGAUAAAUUUGAGAACCUGUAAUUCUUUUAUUUGUGGCAGAUAAUUAGACAAAUGAUUUCUAAAUAUUCCCAUGACUACUACAGAACAUCAAUAAAUUCCUUAAUAAUACUAGAAGGAGAAAUGUGGUUUAAAUUUUCCCAGGGGUUUUCUAACCUUUCAGCAAUUCUCUUUCUUUUCAGCAAAUGUUUGGUAAUUAUGCUGGAAUAUUGG
rnacentral:lncRNA from 10 species